rnacentral:rRNA from 1 species
GACGAACUGUGCGAACGUUAUUCGGAAUCACUGGGCUUAAAGCGCGUGUAGGCGGGUCGGUGCGUCGGCCGCUGAAAUCCCCCGGCUCAACCGGGGAAGGGGCGCCGAUACGACCGGCCUGGAGCGACGUAGGGGGGACUGGAACUUCCGGUGGAGCGGUGAAAUGCGUUGAGAUCGGAAGGAACGCCCGUGGCGAAAGCGAGUCCCUGGACGUCGGCUGACGCUGAGACGCGAAAGCCAGGGGAGCGAACGGG